rnacentral:rRNA from 1 species
UAGUCCACGCCGUAAACGAUGAACACUUGGUGUUGGAGGUAUUGACCCCUUCAGUGCCGGAGCUAACGCGUUAAGUGUUCCGCCUGGGGAGUACGGUCGCAAGAUUAAAACUCAAAGAAAUUGACGGGGGCCCGCGCAAGCGGUGGAGCAUGUGGUUUAAUUCGAUGCAACGCGAAGAACCUUACCUGGACUUAACAUCCCAGUGACAGCCAUAGAGAUAUGGUUUUCCUUCGGGACACUGGUGAUAGGUGCUGCAUGGCUGUCGUCAGCUCGUGUCGUGAGAUGUUGGGUUAAGUCCCGCAACGAGCGCAACCCUUACCUUUAGUUGCCAGCAUUAAGUUGGGCACUCUAGAGGGACUGCCGACGUUAAGUCGGAGGAAGGUGGGGAUGACGUCAAGUCCUCAUGGCCUUUAUGUCCAGGGGCUACACACGUGCUACAAUGGGUCAGUACAAUGGGGUCGCAAGUCCGCGAGGCCAAGCUAAUCCCAAAAAACUGAUCUAAGUUCGGGAUUGGGAGUCUGC